rnacentral:misc_RNA from 1 species
GAUGAAGAACGUAGCGAAAUGCGAUAAGUAAUGUGAAUUGCAGAAUUCAGUGAAUCAUCGAAUCUUUGAACGCAUCUUGCGCUCCUUGGUACUCUGAGGAGCAUGCCUGUUUGAGUGUCAUUAAAUUCUCAACUACACUGACUUUGAAUUGGUGUGGCUUGGAUUUGGGGGGAAAAUUGUUGUGGGCUUUUUGUAUAGUCUGCUCCCCUGAAAUUGAUUAGCGGUACCUUUGUGGAACUGUCUACAGGUGUGAUAAUUAUCUACAUCUUAGACAUCUGCUGGAAUGCUGCUUUCUAAACCUUACUUGUAUUGACAAUCUUGACCUCAAAUCAGGUAGGACUACCCGCUGAACUUAAGCAUAUCAAUAAGCGGAGGA